AAGGUCUUAGCUUAAUUAAAGUGUCUGAGUUGCAUUCAGGUGAUGCGAGUGCGGUCUCGCAGUCUUUA
rnacentral:tRNA from 1 species